rnacentral:rRNA from 1 species
CCUACGGGAGGCAGCAGUGAGGAAUAUUGGUCAAUGGCCGGAAGGCUGAACCAGCCAUGCCGCGUGAAGGUCAGUGCCCUAUGGGCGUUAAACUUCUUUUGUGCGGGAGCAAUAAUGGUCACGUGUGGCCAGACGAGAGUACCGUACGAAUAAGCAUCGGCUAACUCCGUGCCAGCAGCCGCGGUAAUACGGGGGAUGCAAGCGUUAUCCGGAUUUAUUGGGUUUAAAGGGUGCGUAGGCUGUGAGGUAAGUCAGCGGUGUAAUGCCCCCGCUCAACGGGGUGAAGUGCCAUUGAUACUGCCUGGCUAGAAGGCGAAAGACGUGGGAGGAAUGUGUGGUGUAGCGGUGAAAUGCAUAGAUAUCACACAGAACACCGAUUGCGAAGGCAUCUCACGAAUCCGCGAUUGACGCUGAUGCACGAAAGCGUGGGUAUCAAACAGGAUUAGAUACCCGAGUAGUC